CCUACGGGAGGCUGCAGUGGGGAAUAUUGGACAAUGGGGGCAACCCUGAUCCAGCCAUGCCGCGUGUGUGAAGAAGGCCCUCGGGUUGUAAAGCACUUUCAGUGAGGAAGAACGCCUGGUGGUUAAUACCCAUCAGGAAAGACAUCACUCACAGAAGAAGCACCGGCUAACUCCGUGCCAGCAGCCGCGGUAAUACGGAGGGUGCGAGCGUUAAUCGGAAUUACUGGGCGUAAAGCGCGCGUAGGUGGCUUGAUAAGCCGGUUGUGAAAGCCCCGGGCUCAACCUGGGAACGGCAUCCGGAACUGUCAAGCUUGGGGGCAGGAGAGGAAGGUAGAAUUCCCGGUGGAGCGGUGAAAUGCGUAGAGAUCGGGAGGAAUACCAGUGGCGAAGGCGGCCUUCUGGACUGACCCUGACAAUGAGGUGCGAAAGCGUGGGUAGCAAACAGGAUUAGAUACCCUAGUAGUC
rnacentral:rRNA from 1 species